rnacentral:lncRNA from 1 species
GGCAGAGCCAGGCGGAUCUCUAUGAAUUUGUGGCCAUACGAGUGUGCAAAGCAAGUUCCAGGCCAGCCCAGAGCUGGUAUAAAGAGAAACCCCAUCUGGAACACCUUACAAAAGAAAGAGGGUCUACAAGGAACCUCGAUGUAGAAGACACGUACCGGCCAGGCCCUUGGAAUAAGACUUCAGUUUCCAGUAGUGAACUCGACAAGUUGGGAGAGCCUGCUGAUAUCCAGACUAGCCUCCAGGUUUCCAAAGGCCUCAAGAGCCUGCAAGUAACCCAGAUGCGACAGUACACCCAGAGACCCAAUGUAAUCACGCCUCCAGGUGCAUCCAGGCCCUACAAGGAACCUAUGUCGCUGGUGCACUCAGUCACACCAAUGCAGCCAAAUAUUGGGAUGCAUCCAGGUCCCCCACAGUGGCUUGAUCUCCAAUCAUUGGGAACCAGUAAAAUGGAAGCAGGUCUUCUUCCAUCCUCAGGUCCUCAAGGGAACCCAGCUGGCCAUGGUUUCCCAGGUCUGGUUCAGGAACAAAUGGGCAAAACACAAUCUGUAAAGUCCCCCAAAAGGUGCGGCCUGAAAAGCACAGAUAUCCUGGAGCUGGUGUUGGUUCUCACCAGACCUGAGACUACUUAUGUAGUCAGACACUCACUGUGUCUGCUAUGUUCUUUGGUGUUUUCAUGAAACAUUGUAUAGAUGUCUGCUAAGCUUAUUUAUUGGAAAAUCUUUUCCCAACUCUGAGGCGGUAUCUGUCUUUAAGGUUGAAGUAUGUUUCUUGUAUGCAGCAAAAGGAUGGAUCCUGUUCUGUAGAGAAAGAGGAACACUCCUCCAUUGCUGUUGGGAGUGCAAACUUGUACAACCAUGUUGAAAAACAGUAUGAUGGUUUCUUAGGAAAAUCAGAAUCGGUCUACCUCAAGAUUCAGCAAUUCCUCUCUUAGGCAUAUACCCAAAGGAUGCACAUUCAUAGAAUAAGGACAUAUGUCCAACUAUGUUCAUAGUAGCAUUGUUUGUAAAAGGCAGAACAUGGAAUCAAUCUAUAUGCCCCUCAGCUGAAGAAUGCAAUGAGAAAAUGUGGUACAUUUAAACAAUGGAGUACUACUCGGCAUAAAAGCUCAAUGAAAUCUUGAAACUUGCAGGCAACGGGAUAGAACUAGUUGAAACAAUCCUAAGUGAGUUAACCCAGUCAAAGAAAGACAAACAUGGUAAUAUUCACUCUUAUAUGGAUAUUAGACAUAGAGCAAAGGUUUACCAGUGUACAUUCCCUACCACCAGAGAAGCAAGGAAACAAGCAGGACCAUGAAAGUGUCAUCCAUGUUCCUGCAGUGAAGCUGAAAAUACAAGAGUUCCUGAGCAAAUUGGGACAUGGGGAGAGUGGGUAUGGAGGUAGGGUAAUGAAUGAGGAGAGGGGAGGAGAGGGAUGAGAACAUGAGGGAUGAGGACGAUUGUGUGGGGAGAGGAAUAGAGCAGAGCAAGGAAAGAGACAAUCAGUAGAGGAGCCACUAUGGGUUUAAAGAGAAAUCUGGCACUAGGAAAUUGUACAGAGAUCCGCAAGAAUGACCCCUACUAGGAACCUUAUCAAUAGGGGAGAGAAUAACUUUAAUGCCCUUUCCCUAUCAUGAGAAUGAUGACUACCCUGAAUGCCAUGCUAGAACCUUCAUCCAUUAGCUGAUGGAAGGAGAAGCAGAGAUCCACAGGUAAGCACAGAGCCCAAGUCCUGGAAUCCAGUUUCAGAGAGGGAGGAGUGAUCAACUAAAGGGUCUAGAUCAUGCUGGGAAAACCUGCAGAAACAGCUGACCUGAGAAAGUAGGAACCCAUGCACCCCAGUCUGGGGAAACAACAUAGGACCAAACCAGGCCCCCUGAACAGGGUGUCAGCUAGGAGCACUGGGCAGUCUAUGGGGCCUUUGGCAGUGAAACCAGGAUGUAUCCCUAUUGCACGAAUGGAUUUGGGAGCCCAUUUCCCAUGGAGCAAUACUCUCUUAGCCUGGUAAACAGGGGACCACUAAGGUCCUGCCCCAAAUGACUUGAUAGAUUUUGAUGAUCCCUCAUCGAAGGCCUCACCCUCCCUGGGCAGUAGAUGGGGAAUGUGAUGAGGGGGCUCCACAGGGGGCCUGGGAGGAUAGGAGGGAGAGUGAUCUGGAAUUGAGAUGUAAAAUAAGAUCAUUUCUAAUUUUUA